AUGGUAAAAGGUUUAGGUGUUUUAUUUGGAAUGCAUUUCAAGGCUGGGAUGAGGUUUUUGCAUCUCAGUAAAAUUCAUUUUGACAGAUUUUAUAGAGGCAGCCUAACAGAACUCCUAUUUACCAGAAUGUGUAUGAUAGAGAAGGGGAAGAAUGCUAGUGAAACAGAGGCAGAAGAGAUUAUUGAAAUAGCCAGCAAAGCCUCUGUUGCCGAUCAACAAAUGCUAGUACAAGAAAAUGUUCAUUCUCAAAUCAAAACAUUUUGCACAUUAAUGGAUGAAGUAAAACAGUGA